GUUCACCGGGAAGGGAAGCAAUAUACGAGAUUAUAUUAAUCCUAGUUUGAUAAUUAUAGCAAAAUAAGAAUACAUGUUUGUAUUUAAUAAUGAUUUAAAAGCUAUCAUUUAUUGGCUUUGUGGUUUUUGUUAUAACAUAUGUGCUUGAUCUUGGUUUCAACAGAAAUGCUUCUCUGCUUGCUCAAGUUUGUGGUAAGUAAAUGUGAAAUGAAGAGAACAAAACAGUUAAUGAGUAUUUGCCCACGUUUUGGUAUUUGUAAAGGUGAGGUGAGACUUCUUAUCAUCUGUGAUCAGGAGCUUUUCAAUGGAUUUUCGUUAAAGAAGUAAUAAAUCAUGAUCAUUAGAAAUGGCAAAUAGAGGAAGCAUUAGAAAAAAGCUGGGUAUGACUUAAGCACAUCAAGCUUUGCAACAUCUUCUGCAUUUUACAGGGUUUACUGUUGAUUUACCCAACACAGACUAGCUAAGAUGCACACUCUUGCUGAUUGAAGCUUGGCAUGUAUAUUUAGCAUUAAUCACAAGCAGCUGUGGUGGAGGGAAACCUUCUUUCUAGCCAGCCAGAUUAUAUUAGAUUAAAAUGAUCCAUAUGUAAGGUGUUGCAAUACCUACUACUGGGGCAGGAGGGAAAUCACAUUAUACUUGCAACUAGAUUAACACAGGGAUUGAGCUGACAAAUAAUUCUCUCCUGCAUUUUAUUUUAUUUUAUUUUAUUUUAUUUUAUUUUAUUUUAUUUUAUUUUAUUUUAUUUUAUUUUAUUUUAUUUUAUCAGGUGGGAAAAAUAAAACGUUGCCGCAUGCUUCUGUUGUAAUUGCUUUGGAUGCACACGCCGGCUCCUUGAGUCGAUGGAGGAUCCCGGCAGAGCCCGAUGCUAUAGAAUAUACGCGUUUAAACCCCAGUUACCCAGCCCAUCUGCAGGGAACGCAGCUGCCUGGAAGCUGCAACGGGCCAAUUAGUGGAUGAUGUUGGGUGCAUCGUUGUGCACUUUGGAUGCUGGAGAAGCUAACUGAUGGAGGGGUCUGCUGUUGGGACAGUGCCUGGGGAAACAGGCUGCACCCGGUUAUAAUUUGGUGUCCCAUCCAUGGUGAGAGUGCGCUACCGCGAAUGGGACGUAAACCUGUGCUGCGCUCUUGCAAAACUCCUCUGAGAGGGCAGGAAUAAUUUCCUUUGUGGCUCAAGACUGUCAGCGGAGGACAAAACAUGAUGUUUUCUGCACUGUCCUGGAGAAAAAAUAGCUCGAUAGAAUUCUGCGUAGAGCUAAGGAGUGGAGGGCAGCGGGGCCGAGCUGGAUUUGCAUAAGGCCAGUGUAGGAAUUUGGCUGCCAGCGGGGCAGGGGGAAGCAGGGGGCUAUAGAAUUCACUCUCUUGAUUGUGAAUAGCACCGGGGGCUCCAUGCAGAACGACUGGGAUGGAGCUGUGGUGGGCCUGGGCAUCCUUCCAGCAUGCUGUGUCACAGAGGAAAUUCCUCUCUUCGGUAGUUUCGUCUGAGCAAAGAGGACAGGCCAGGAUCCUGAUUAUCUGGGACUCUUGAGGAACCCAUCCAUAUUGUCACCUUGUUACCUGUUUUUGUGCUGACUCUUUUUUCCUUUUUCCCCCCAUAAACUCUGAUAGCAUCAGGCUUUGGGACACCAUUGGACCCUCUCUGAACCAGGUCUAAGGCUGUAUUGUCACAUCCAUUUGCUUCUAUGCUAAGAGGACCUCCUUACUGUUUUUCUGGUCUCACACACUGAAUGUGAAGCUCAGAGCUGGCUCCUGCUCCCCGCGAUGGAAAGCUGGUGUCUCACCCUUGCAGUGCAGUGCUGCUUGUGAGCCAACUGUAGCUGUCUUGAGAGAAGAGUCUUGUGCUGUGAGAAGGACCAUGGUGCUGCUCUGUAGCUUGGGGUCCUAUGUCCACACAGCAUCGUGAGAACUGGAGAGGGACUUUUUACAAGGGUGUGUAGUGAUAGGAUGACGGGUAAUGGCUUUAAAAUGAAAGAGGGCAGUUUUCUAUUAGAUAUUGAGAAGAAGUUCUUCCCCAUGAGGGUGCUGAGGCCCUGGCACAGGCUGCCCAGAGAAGCUGUGGAUGCCCCGUACCUGGAAGUGUUCAAGCCCAGGCUGGACAGGGCUUUGAGCAACCUGGUCUAGUGGAAGGUGUCCCUGCCCAUGGAAGGGGAUUGGAACUAGGUGAUCUUUAAAGUCCCUUCCAACCCAAACCAUUCUAUGAUUCUAUGAUCUUGGGCUCUCCCCAAGAGAAACGUAUGGCUGGGUUGCAGUUGAGCACUCAACCUGAUCCUCUAACUCAGCCGGUGAGACGUCACACAAUGGGAAAGAAAAGUCCUGAGAGGUCUGGUAUGUCACUCAAUUACAGCUUCCAAUUUAUUGAUGUGUACUGCAAUGUGUCUCAGAAUGAUUCUGGCCAUCUUCCUACCUGGUCCUAUUAAAUAUGACACCGUGGGACCAUGUUUGAUGCUUCAGGCCAUUUACAUGUGAAAAAAUGCAGGAAAUAUGUUGGUUUAUACCAGGAUUUGGAUGUCUGUUGUUAUUCCAGGCAAUGACUCCAUUUUCGAUGAGAUCUUAAGCUACAUUGCAGUGUAUUGCUGCAGUAUCGUUCAACAGGGACUCUGAAGCACUUUUGAUAAGUCAGAAGUGGAAAGAUCUGAAAAGCAACAUGGUUUGGACUCCUGUUUUCACUCAGGAAUCCUUGAAAAUUGAAUCUGUCGAGCUCAAUUAAACCCUUUCCUGUUUAAUGAAUACUCUGGGUACCUGAAACACAUGCCAGUAAACCUUAACACCAUAUUCCACAGCUUAUGGCUUCUUAUUAUCUUCCUUUGCAUUUCAGAGUAUGCCAGCAAGCUGCUGUACGAAGGAUCAACUGAACAACUUUGGGGUAGAAUCACUAUCUAGGCUGGCCUAUGUGGAUCUUGUUCCUCAACUACUCUCAGGAAAGGAUGGAGAAAUAUGCAAGUGUGAGUUGUUUGGACCGUGCUGAAUAAAGGUGAUGGAAUUACUGUUUUAAGUCUGAGCUGCAAAAGACUCACCAGCCAAAUUUGAUGGCCUCGAGGUCUCUCCGAUGAAAGAAUCCAGAUAUGCACCACAAAGCUGUAGGCUUUCUUGGGACCAACCACCUGGAUGUUAGGCUUUACGGCCCCUGAUUCAUCAGUGCCUAAGUGCUUCAGUGGGUCAAAUGCACAAGUCUAAAUUCUUCUGAGUGCUUGAUCUGCAUCACCUGAAAAGGAAACAAUUUGUAAAAAUUAUAUUCUGAAAAUCAGGCACGUUCACACUCAAGGCUGGGGGAUGUGUGCUUGCUGCACAGGGACUGAAGCUGCCUCUCUAGAAUUUAAUGGCAAAUGUGUUGCCUUCCAUGGUCCAGAUCAUUGCUGACCUGCUCUGUUAUCAUCGAAAAAGAGCGAACUGUAUGACAAGUUCAGCUUUCCCCCGCACGCCUUGCUCCCUCCUCCUUCCAUUCCCCUCGUCCUCCAAAGAAAACUUCUGUGCGCUCGCCUCUUUCACCGCCUUGGCACCGUAUUAGAAUACUUGCAGCAAAAGGAAAGAAAAGGGAAAAAAUCCUGAAAGCCAUGCUUUUCCCUGUAGGUUGGCACCAUCGCUUCGGCUUUCAUCAGCGGGAGCAGCGUGCCAAUCUCACGCCAGCACAAACAGAUGUGACUCUAGAGCUUUGAGUGUCCAAUGAAAGAGGAAUUACUCGCUGAACUACGCUCUGAAAGCAGCCAAACGCACCAGCCUUAGGAUUUUCCAUUGAGACAGACGGUUUCUCAGAGCUUUGCUUCAAGGUGCCUGGAUUUCGGUCGUCUUUAUUUAUUUAUUUUCCCUCCCAUUGUGCGCUGACAUUAGUCCAACAUUCAGCAUAUGAUUUCUGCUUCGUAAGAAUGUUAUCGGACCAGGAUGGAAAGCUGCAUCUUGGAGAGAUUAAACAAGUUCUUCAAAACUCAGAGCAGGAGCGGGUCUUGAACUCUUGUGACUUUGCAGCCUAGUCCUGUCUUAACUGCGAGACUAACUUCCUCCUGAGAUGAGGAAUGCUCAAGGUAAGAUUAGGUUCAGAGACUGGAAAGCAAGUUGAAUGCUGAGCCAUAUGACAAGAUGUUCUCAUGAAUUUUUAAUCGUUGGCUGUGUGGACGUGUGUGUAAAGCAAUAACCUGAGGAAGUCCAUCCUACAUUUUGGAAACCACUGUAGUUUUGCAGCUCUUGGAAUGAGUCUGGAGUGAAAAAUCUGUUCUGUAGCACAUUCCCUAUCAUGUUCCCUCUAGAUAAAGCUUUAAACUUGUCAACUUAGUGGCUCUUAUUCCAGGAAUUUGUCCUUGGAACAGCUGACAAUAUCCCCAAUAUUUGGCUAGAAAGAAAUCUCUUCUGGGAAAGACUAAGAUGGUGCUAUUUGGUCACAAAUUGAUAGUUAUCUGUUUCCUUGUUAUACAAAUGCGAUGCUCUGUGAUUUUUCUACCAGGAAAACAGAAAAAUUCAUAUUUAGCUAGUCCCUUUUAAAGUAACUUUGAAUCUUUUAACAGCUUCAAGAUAAAGGUUGUUUUUCUCCACUACCUGGUUCAUACCUCUUUGCUUUUUCUUACAACUACCAGUAUGAGUUUAAUUCCAAGAGACUAAAACUAUGUUAACUUCUUUUUAAGAAGACACAAAAAUGGAGUUGUACUGCUGUGGUUUUCUACUUCAUGGAACCUUCCUGGAGGUUUGGCUGGGAUAUCAAUUCUGUGGAAAUCAGGACUUUUAAGGAGGUUGUAGAAAUUGAAUUCAGCAGUACAGUUGAAUAUACCUUAAUUUUAAGUAUACAAAUGGUCUUAGCUCUAGUGACAGUAUUUAUGUACUCUUAGUUAACAGUGCUUCCAAUGCAAUGGUACUGAUAAAUUUCCAAGCUUCUCCUUUGCUGUCAGCAGCCAUGUGAACACUUGCAAUCCAACUCAGUGCAAAGACAAAUGCCAGCAAAGUAGCAUCCUUAGAAGUUGUUCCUUCAGCCUGAGCUCCUUCUGUAUCACCUGUGGAAGGACUUAACAUCAUCUUCCCUCACAACUCCCCAAAAGGGCUGGUUCUUCCUUUACAUUACUCUUCCUGAGGGUCUUCACGCAUCGAACUAAAGGUGCAUUGAGGGUUUACUGUGCAGAUGAUCACCGAGUUAAGGAUCAGUCUCAAACACAAACUUACCUGUGUAGACAUACUGUGAAUCACUGGAAAGCUUUAGAAAAUCUCACCUCAAAGGUCCAACACAACUGCCAUUGAACUCCGAAUACUGACUUCAACGGAAACUCGAUCGGCCCCUCAGCAAGGAAUUCUAUGCAUGUCCAAUAGAUUUUACAGUGUUUGUUUUGAAAAUCACUUUUAAACGGGUAUAAUGUGCUGAAGCGCUGUGUCUGUGUCCUACUAAUUAAGUGGAAGCAAAUGGAGCACGUUCCUUUCUCCUAAGAAAACGUGGGAUGAGGUGGGAAAGCCACAAUUAAGACUGACUCAUGCUUUUCCUAUGAAUUUGUUCUAGACCCACAUUGUCUAAUACUUCUUCUUGUUCUUUUGUUCAUCUCAGGUUUGAAAUAUUUCUUAAAGUCUGCCCAGUAUGAGGCAAAGUCCACGUUUCUAGUGAAGGAUUUUUACUUUGACCACUGUGUCUUAAGGGCUCUGCUGCUACAAUAGAAGGCAAAGACAAAUUUUGUUCAUGGCAGUCUGUAAAUUCCUGCUCCAUAAUCUUGCCUUCCCACCUGGCACGUACAAAAUGGAUGUCUGGUGGUUUCUGAGACUUCACUUUGCUCCUUGUGAGAAGUCAGGAGCUGGACUCAUCUAUCCUCAAAAUUGUGUGCAGUUGUGAAAUUUGGAUGAGAAAUAACUUUAAAAAUCUAGGAGCCGGUAUGUUGGAAGUCAGUUACAAACUCUUAUUAAUUUUUUAGAUAGUGGUAUGUGUCUUAAGAUGGGCUAUGUGUAUCGUAUAAAGUUCAAUUAAUUCCUUUUAUUUGGCCCUUAUCUACCUGGAGCAUCAGAGGGCCCAUAUCUAGCAGCAACUUCUGUGCAUGGUUAUUUGUCCAUUCCUUUACCAGUUUGCAAUUUGCUCAUUCUGAGCUGAUAAGUGUUUGCUUGUAUAUAUUUGCAUGUAUCGGGUUUAGAUUCGCUCAGAGCUUAGAAAUGAUUAAACAAUCAUCAUUAGUAAGUGUGACAGCGUGUGUUCCUACACUGCAUGACAUUAGGACAUAUGUACAUUGCUUCACUUUCCACCCAUGUAAUAUCCAAAUGCAGUAGCACUGCUGGCAAGGAACUGCAAAAGAACCUGUUUGCUGAUGAAUUUGCAUUAAAAAAGAAACAGAAUUUUCCGCUGAAUGUAUAAGCUAUUACCUAUGUUGAUGUAACCCCCUCUUUUGGAAUUAUAUGAAUUAUUUUAUGAUCAUACGACACAUUGAUUAAGAUCUAAGAGAGACAACAACUAUCCAAGGCUGGAUGAGAAUAAUAAAUCAAUAAUGAUUAAUGGACCAGAAUAAUAAAUCAAUAAUGAUUAACAGCACAAAAUAACGUUCAUGUGCAGAUUGUCUUUGGCAAGAAGGGAACCUGCAUCAGAUGUCGAUGUGGAGACCCCUCAUGGGACUGUAGCCACUGCGCUGGUCCUGCCUGGGAAGGAGGGAAGGAGUCUCAGAGCCUCACGUUUCACUCUGUUUCCAUCCUUUUCGUGGCUGGACCAGUCCAAGCAAAGUCAGUCAACGCCUAUGAUGCCCAGCUGAUGGCAAUAGCAAAAUUGCUAUGGAGUUAGAAGGGCAGAAUUAUUAUGCAUCCAAUGGACUGAUGUGUUCCCGAUGGUAAAUGUAAUGCGGGUGGCUUGAUUCUCAUCCGAAAACCGCAGAUUUUCUUACCCUUCAGUGGAAUUAGACCAAAUUUCCUCAAUUAAGUGAGAGGCAGAUGCAUAUGCGUGUGUAAGACUACAUGCAUCUGUUCCAGUCCAUAUGCAAUAUCAGUGAAAACUUGUAUCAUUGUGUUUCUUCUAGUCUGGGCCACAUAAUGUAAUGUGCAAUUGGCAUUUGCUUUGAUAAUGAAAACAAUGUUUUAUGCCAUGAGGAUCCCAAUUCCAUACUUGACUGCAUAGUCAUUUAACAAAUCUUUCACAAGAAGUAGAACUUUUCGAUGAAACCAUCCCUUUUCUCUCCUUUUUGCUGUUGCUUUAAUAUGCUGAUAAGACAAUCUGAGUGGCUGAAACAUGUGAACUUUAAAUUACUCAAAAGUCGGUGUGUUUGAAAGUCAAGUGUUUUAUAAGCCACGCCAAUGAAAGGUCUCCCAGUUAGUCCAGAGAAGUUUGGUGGUGUUUCGGUUUGGCUUUUUUUUUUGGUGUGUUUUUUUUUUUUUCUGUCAUUUCUGUCCUGUUAAUUUGAGCAGAAACUGUAAUUAGAUGUAAGUGGUCUUGUUCCCACAGAAAUGAAUGGCAGCAUCUGGAGAGAGACAACCGUUCCAAAUGCUUUUGGCUACCCACUCUCUACAAGUUAGCAGUAUGGAGCAAGGGCCCGAAUCCAGACUUCUGUCGGCCUAAUUUUAUAUCUGUGGAAGCACAACACUAAAUCCAAUAUUCAAAUGCUGUGCCGUGAUGGAUGUAGGACAGAGUGCAUUCCAGACUUUUAUGUUGCCGGCUCCUCUUGGGAGGCCGAUCCUUGCUGCAUCUCCAGGUGGGAUUGGACAUGUCUCUCCAGAUGACCAGGGCUGGGAAAAGAAGGGAUAGUUGGCCAAAGGGUUGGCUUUUUGUUUUGUUUUCUUUUCUUUCCUCCCCAUUUUUCCUUUUCCAUUUCAUUAUCCAGUUUGACAGUAUCUGGGCUCUGCUUCCCCAGACAGGAGCACGGCUGUGUUUGUAAACAGUAAUUGAGUUAAAAGAUGUUUUGUGUCAGAGCUGAGCUCAUUUCUUUAUUUGCUUUCUCUGCAGAAGGGCAGCUCCCAUACAGAAGUGCAGCCACUGUGAGUAUCUGCCUCGGAGCUCUGGGUCUCCACAAGGUCACACAGCUCCUUAUCACCACCAAAAUACGUCUUCAAUGAACAUUUAUCAUAAUCAGCACCAGGGUGUUGCAUUUUUAUCAAACUUUCUGUCCCCUAAAGGAGAAUCAGACUUCAAGUUGAUAGCACUAUUUGGGGCUAAAUAUUUCCAUUCAACCUUUCCAGUUAAUUGAAAUGGGUUGAAUUUUUUUCCUUUCUUCAGCUUUCUAACGCUCCUGUUGUGUUCAGUAGUAAUUUUCAGUCUUUCAGAUGCAUUUUCUUCUCUGGCCAAACACUAUAUGCAGCUAACUUCACUUGUACUGGGACUGGUUUUUAAACUGAGAUUGGCCAUGGCACUUAGUGCCAUGAUCUAGUCAAUGGACUGGAGUUGGACCAAGGGUUGGACUUGAUGAUCUCUGAGGUCUUUUUCAACCCACUCGAUUCUGUAAUCCUGUGAUUCUGUGAUCACUCACUUCAUACAGUGUGUGACAACUACACAUGCAGGACACACGUGAUGGCACCUUUAAGUGCCUUUUAUUAAACUUUCCUGUCAAGCAAAGCCAAUUCUCUUGUUCUGCCUCGCUAACACUGGUGAUAACAUGGUCUUUUCCCUACUUGCUGCUGUUCUCCAGGGCUGUGUCUAUUUUCUUUAAAAUGUGCAAAGGGAGGGGGAAGGAAUUUACACUUUUCUUUUUAGAGCUGCCUGAAAGAUUUACAGGAACGGUUCCUAUGAGUCUAAUGGGACUUGUGUAUCUAAACCCUUUCAAAAUGCUCAAAUCUCCAACUUCUGCUGUUACGGAGGCAUCAAUGAUGGCCCAAUAAAUGAGGGGAAUUGAGAUUUACAGUUGAAGGGUUGUCUCAAACUUACUGUUGUGUAUAAAAGAAAAUACAGUGUUUCUUCCCCAAAGCCAGGGUGCUUAUCCUGAGUGCAGAAUGAAAGUCUGAGCAUUUACAAGUAAAUCUGUUAUUCAGUAUGGGGAAUUAAAUUAAAUUAUUCAUCCUUUAAGAAAUUUAGGAGCGUCAGACUCUUCUUUCCUUGGUAAUUUCAGUAAUACAGUGGUAAAGUCACUUCAGACUUGUCAUACGGCUAAGUUUCAGUGACAUCUUUUCUCUGUACAUUUAACAAUAUAGACUGUGUAUACAAAAUUAUUAUUUGGUAGCAAAUAGGUAUAUUAUGUGGACAGUAAUUCAUCCUGUUAUAUAUAAAAAAUAAUCUUGGUAUCGCAAAAUAAUAUUUUUACUCCUGGGUUUGCAGACAUUAGAAAUCUUUGUUUGCUGUUACAAGUUGCCCCCUUCUCUUUCUAUCAAGGGCAUGCUGGUAAAAAUUCAUGGAUCUCUGAAUUUUUUCGGAAUGCUCAUUUUUCUUUUGGUUAUUUCCUAGGAUGAAUGCCUGCAGCGUGGACUUCCCAGAGAUACUUAAUUGGCCUUCCUUCAAUCACAGUCAGCAUUUGCAUCCUAUUGAUACAAUUUGGAUUUAAUUAUGCUCACUGUAUUUGGCUGUUCCUAUAUUUUCCAUACUUUCCUAUUAGAUCUUCUACAGGCACACUGUCCGAACUCGGGAUUCAUAUUAAUGCUAUACUUUGAAAUGAAGGGGUUUUUGCUUAGUAAACAUGUACAUAUGUUGAUCCAUAUAAGAGCAAGAAGACCUGCUGUUUUCCAGUUCGGUCUUUUUCUAAAAUUAGUGCUGGUAGUCUGAAGAAGGCUGAUCUUGACUGGCUUUUGCAAGACCAGCUUAAUGAUCCAUGAGAAUCCAUGAUUACAAGCAGGAAGAAGAAUCAUUAUUUUUUUUUCCCCUUGGUUGUUAGGAGACGAACAGUGCUAUUUUGAAAUUAUUCCCUUUCACAAGUGCUAUUUGCCAUAAGGGUGUAAACUACCUGAACCUUAACCUUUGGUUAAGGAGGGCUAUUAUAGAUAGGCGUAUCCAAACCCUGACCUGUCUCUUGCCAUUUCUUCAGGCAUCAUCAUAUUCUGGUGGAGGAUGAUUAUGAACGGCAGGAGAAGACUUUAGGUGGUGAUAAUGUAGACUACAAGGACAGAGAGAUGGACUAGAUUACUCAAAUCAUAGAAUCAUUUUGGUUGGAAAAGUCCUCUAAGAUCAAGUCCAGCUGUCAACCUAACACUGUCAAGUCCAUUUCUAAACCAUAUUCCUAAGAACCGCAUCUACAUGUCUUUUAGUAGUGGGUAGUAGCUAAGGUAAAUGUAAAAUUCUAAAUGUAAAAUAAGAAGAGACCUCCUGGGUCACAGAGUUGUGUGACAUCCUGAUCCAUACAGUGAUGAAGUGCCAUUCAUAAACAGAUCAAAGUCCAUUUUAAUUCUAGCUGGGGCCUGUGCUCUUGGAUGGAGAGGGAGAACUGUCCUGUUAGUCCACUUAGCCAGGCAACUCUACACCCACCUUACACCUUCCUCUAAUUUCCAGUCUAAAUAAGAUCAGGACUAUCUUGUGUUCAUGUGCAUUACUGUCCUUUAGCUUCAGUAGUUUCUUCCUCUAGGCAUUAAAUCUACAGUUUUAUUUACAGCAGAUCUAUCCCCUCCCAGCCUUGUUUUGCUAAGGCUGAAUAAUUAUUCUUUAUGUGCUGUCUUGCCCUAUCAAUCCCUGUGACAACGCAUGAUGCCAUUUCUCAAAGAGUUAUUGGAUAUCUCAAGCUGCUUUAAUAAGAAGUCGCUUAGCUUUUUUUCUCUACCAGCUCUUGCAUUAUUCCCUGAACAAAGCCACUUUGGUCUAUGGAAAGUCUAGAAUUCAGCUCAAUGUCAGACUGACAUCCAGUGGAAUCGCGGUAGAGCAUCUCUAUAGCACACCCACCUGGCAAAAUCGUGGUUGUCAUUGCUUUAAAUUUAUUUUAUUCUUGCUUCACCGAGCAGGGCAAAAACUUGCCAAAGUCAACAUGUGAUGAAUGAAAUGGCUUUCGUUGUAAGACCUGUCAAUACACUUCAGCUUCCUUACAAUAAAAGGGUGACUCCUUUGACGUGUGGGACUUGCACCUGUCUUCCUUCUGAAAGCAAUACAUUCUCGAUAUGCUGAAACGCCACUCUUAGGAAAUCAACAGAGUUAAUCUAUUGGGAACAGUGAGGUCUCAGGGCCAGCUGUUCAGCUUUUCUUAGUAUCAUAGCUCCAUUGAUCUAAAGCAGCUCUGGUGACACACACUGACUGCUCAUACCAGAUAAAAAUCCCUUUUUUAGUUAUUUUGUGCUAGGAGAAUAGUGAUUAAGGCUGAUCUGGGAACAGAACAAAAUGGAUUAUCAUAAUAAGUAAUAACUAGGAAAGGGGAGGUGAGUGUAGUUUGGCCGUUUAAUGCUUAACUUUGAGUGGGAAGGAGUAGAGGGAAGCAAGAGAUGCUCUGGGUUUGGUUUACCCAUAUUAAGUAGGCAGUGGGCAAAAUGAACCUUUUUUUCCCCAUUCCAUGUGGUUCCCACAUGGCCUUUUUCUUCCCAAGAGCCAACAGCAUCAAUGUCUGGGACUUGGUCCCCUUCUCUUUCCCUACUCACAGCGUUUGGUCACCAGAAUAUAUUGUUAAAUGGGUUGUAAUGGCUCCUGAGGGUGGGCAGACAGUAGCUGCUGUUUCAACCUCAAGGCGGGCAAAAAAAGAAAUGUCAGUUAUUGUCCCAUUUAUUACGAUGAGAUUUUAAUCACCUUUUUAAUUCUUCAUAGAAGGCAUUUAGCUCGUGGAUCCUGGAGAACUUGUGGGAUGCUGGGAGAACCUUUGCCCAGGACGAUUUUCCCCAUCUCUUCCAAAUGUCUUAGAGGCAAACAAAAGAAGAGCUUAAUGCACUUGAAGAAGCACCAAGCUCUGCUGUUUGUUGUGAACAAAAGAAGGUUGACCUGAGCAAUAGAGGGCCUGAUGUUUCCAGAGAAGGGCUUUACCAUACCAUGUACCUCUCCAGGAGUGAUGUGAUUGAAUAGGGAAGGAAUAGGAGUCACUUAGAAACUAAAGCACUGUGAUUAAAGACCAAGAAGUUGCCAAGACUCAGAGUACAUGGUCUUCCCAGCAGUGUUUUGCAGGACCUGAGUGGCCAGACUUUGUGAGAAAAUCAUUCAGCAUUGCUUCUCUCAUAUAUAACACAUGCCAGAAGCCUAAAGAAGAUGACAUUCAGCAAACCACAGACUGAAUGGCUGAAGGAAUGGAGGCUGCUUUGGUGUGUAUGAGAUCAGAAAAAAGAAAAGGCUACUCAAGGCUGAAAAACAACCGAGGUUGCAGCUCCUUCUUCAUUUGCUGUUACCCUCCAUCCAUGAGCACAGACCAGACUAACUGGGAGAGGCUGCAGAGAAACUGGUGGUGGAGGAAGGCCAGGUGGUGUGUCAGAGUCUGCCCCCUUCUCCAGGGCUUGGAAGAGCAGAUGAUUAUGCCUGCAGUCUCCUAAAAAAUAUAUAUAAAAAUAAAGAUUUCUUUCAUCUCUUUCCUGAGCAAAGCUCUCCAGGGAUGAAUUAGCCCAGACCUCUCCUGGAGGUGGGGAGCUGAACUCUGUCUUGCAGAAGAAGGGAUUUCUCCCAUCUUGUGGACACCGGCAUCUGGGUUUGUUCACCCAGAAGAUGAGAAGACCACAAGCUCAUGGUGGAGAUAAGUGAGUUCCCUAGAUUCCUGCUUUUCACCUGAGAGAAACAGAACUCAGCCGUCACCUUCCUCGGGAACAGCUACUUCAUGUCUCAGUGUUCCAGUUCAUCUCUCCACUCCCUUCUGUCAAGCAAAAAACCUACAGAAAAGUGCAAACCUGGAGGAGCUGAGCCAAGCGCACCCACCUUCGAUCGCGGCUGAUUGACACGUGAUGCAGGGACCAGAGACCCAAAGGGAUGCUGCAAUGACACAAAAUCAAGGCUAAGCAGGGCUCAGACACGCAGCGUCUGAGCUCCCCGCGCAGCCCCCUCGCUGAACUUAGGCUGGAAGGGAAGGAAUUGCCUCUCCAGAAGAUGAGAGGGGAUUCAUUCUCCAUGCUCGCUCUUUCCUGGGGGGCUUUGCCAAGAAGAGAAAAACCACUCAUGGUUUUCUGUCUUUUCACCAUUUUUUAUUUAUUUAUUUUUUUUAAAGAACAUCAAAGUGAGCACUCCUGCUUUCUCACCAUAAUCCCGCAAAUCCUAAUGUGUGUCUCCCAGUCCUUUCAUGCUAAAAGCACAAGUGCGUGUGUUUCGCAGCAUUUAGGAGGUUGCAGAUAGUUUCCACAUUUGCAUGCACGCUAUGUCACUAAAAGAGCCAAACCAGGAAAAGUAGUUCAAACUCAAAAAUGUUGUACUUUAAAGCUGAUUAUUAUUUAAAAAGUCACUUAUGUGAUGUGGUGUCUAAUUCUGCUUCAGUGGAACAAGACAACUGGACAAAAUGACUUUUCCAGUGUGUAUUUUCCCCCCCCCUCCUUUCCCUAAACAUUUUUUUUUUUGAAGUUUCAUGCUUAGCAAAAAACCCCUCUGUAAUUGUCUUGUCAUGAUUAUAGUUUUUCCCAUUCACUGCCGCUUUACAUGGAAGCCCCGGGAAAAGAAUUCUUAAAAAUUAAAUUUCAUGCCUGCAUGUGUUUCUGUGAUCUGCAGUGUGUAUGAUCUCCGAGUGGAAAAACUUCUCUAAAAAUAAAUGGAUUACCCUUGCUCCAACGCCGUCUGAUGUCUCUCGAGCAGAUACCGCCGCUCGCCUGUGAUCUCUCGCCCACCGCAAUCGGGGUGACAGGCGUUGAGGCAAGGGCCCGGCGGUGGCACCCUCCACCCUCACCCCUCAUUUUGGCACAGACUGGGGGAGCGGGGCAGCCCCGCUUGGGGUCCACAUGCCAACCAUUGCUCGCUGGCAGAGGACAAAGGUUUGACCUUUCGCAAACGGUGCGGGAAAUCGCAUCGUUCCUUGGGACGACCGGGAAUUUUCCACCUCAAAGGCUGUUUUGAGGUUUAUUUUCCUCGCAGACCUUUUCCAUACAGUUGUCAUUGUUUUUAUUCGCACGGCAAAUUUUGGGUUGAGGGGACCGAAUUGGACAAUGCAUGCAGUAAUGCAGCAAGGAGAACACGUUGUCUGAACCCUCCCUAGCAAUCAGAAAAAAUCCUAUGGAGGUGGAGGGCUGUGACCUGACCCCCUGGUUUAUAAGACCAUCUUUUCCUUGCAGUGUCCAGCCCCGGACUGGGACCUGCAGGUGGUAUCACAGCGCAAGAAAUAAAUACUGGUAGACUCUAGGGACCCAUCCACUAUACGGCUUUCAAGACUUUUUAUUUCUUGUCUUACAGCCCCAUCUUACCAGCCUUCUUCCUAUGCAAAUGUGCUCUUUUGGCCUUGCUAUGAUGGGAACUGCAGAUGCAACAAGAGCCACAGCAAACAGCCUCCUCUUUCCCUGCUACCCAGCAAUUUUGCAACAGGUUUUUCUGCCUUGAACUAGAAAUGACUUUGUAAGUCCUUGCUCCUGCGAUGCCACCCAGCAGUGGCACCUGCCAGCCGAGCCAGUGGUGCCCAGAGGACAAAACACUAUGUCCCUCUUUGGCAUGGCUGUAUCAAGCCCUGACCCACAUAAGUAACAGUCCCUGAAGGGCUACCUUGAAAAGGGAUUAGGUAGAAACGGUUAGGAAAGCACCACGGAGCAGAUGAUAGCAAUAACACACUAGCAGGAGUGGGAAGGCUGGGCCGGUGACUGAACACCAGACUUGGACUCGGGAGAUCAAGGUUUAAUCCUCCAUUCUUCCACAGAUGUUGGCAAGUCACUUAAUCUCUCUGUGCCUCAGUUCCCCAUCUGUAAACAGAAGAUAAUGGUAGUUCUUUUGUCUGUACUGUCUGUUUAGAUUUCUAAGUUUUCCAGGGCCAAGGAUGCUUCUUCAGGAGGGUAUAUACAGCACCUGCCUCUGUAGGGGAAUCGCACUGCAGCCUUCCAUGCUACAGAUGAUAAUUAAUAAUGGAAAUAUCAGUCCUUUAAUCAUCAUGGAACUCAUGCUGUUUUGCAACAAAAAAUUACAAUUAAUGCAUGAUCAGAGCUUUAUUUGAAGUUGAAUAAACACUUUGUGUGAUAUAAUGGGCAUUUCCAGAAAACUCCUUUGUUAAGUCUCCGGGCAAUUUGUUUGUAAAGUGUAUCUUUAGAUGACCACAACAGUCAUCCCCGUCCUGUGAUGUCUGAGAGCCAUUUUCAAGAUGGGAGGCAAGGCUGAAGUUGUGGUGAGGGGAUUGCCACCAGUGAGAAAUGCUGACAACAUGGUCUUUCCAAACCAGCCAUGGGUUCAGGAGAAACCAAACCCAACUGCUUCUGUGUGAAUCUGCAAUCCCUCUCAUUGGGAACACCCUGGUUCUCCAUCAUCUGGAAAGCACGGACUGAAUUAUGUUGUUAUUACCCUGGGGGACAUACCACAGUCAAAAUCACCCAGACAACUUUUCAGGAGAAAAUUGCCAAAAGUAACUAUUUCUAGAACUUUUCCUUUGCUGCUGUGCUCUGAGAAGAAAGAAUAACAUUUUGAAGACUGUUAGCUCUGCUUUCCAGUGAGAGAGAAUUGGUAUCUGUUCUGAUUAUACUUAACAUCUACUGGAGCCUUCACUGAGGUUAAAAGGAAAUUUCAGCAGGUAGGAUUAUCUCCAACAAGUAUUAUAUCCUGCCAAAUUGUGUUUGGAUUUUGCUAGACUUAUUUACUUGUUCACAACACCCAGGGAAGCGGAGACUUUUUUUCUGUAAAGAAUUUGGCUGUGUUUGAAGACAUGGGAGCUAUGUUUUCGAGAUGAAUCAGGCUCAGAUUGACUUUGGGAUUUGACACAAUAUUGAUUUCCUGACUAACCUUGCUUUUCUGCUGGACAUGCUGUGUGUAUUGUGAGCUAUUACAGGGCUGCAGGAACACUUUCUGGUGGCAUGUUUGGUUUAGGACAGUUCAGGUGAAGCCUUUGGGAUUAACUAGUUUAUGGCUAUAUCUUGGCUCCUGCUUUGUCUCCAGAGCCGUGGGAUGGGCUGAACUCCCCUCUGCUUUUCCUUGCUCUCGCCAUCUGAGGUUCUAUCCAGUGUUCUCUGAUUCUAUCCAAGAGCAAGAACCUCAGUGAAAAUGCGGGCCAGUUUGCAAUGCCUUUCUGCAGAUAAGCCCAUUGGCUUCAGCCCUAUGGUCCUUCAUCCAUCUCUUGGCAUGUGCAGUUCUCCUACGCUUCUCUCUCUUGUGCUUCUCUCUCUUGUGCAUGUCUCCUCUUUCCAAUUCUUCCCAUCUUGCUGAUCAGCCCUAUACCCCACUUUUACUGAUGAGAGGUAGGGAUGCUAAGAAGCUCCAGGCCUCAGUCCAUUUUCUGUCUCUGUGCCUGGUGUAGACCUUCCAUGCUUGUUUCAUGUAUCAACAGUGGAUGACUCUCUCAUAUAUUUGUUUUUAAGGGAUGAUCUGAUUGGAGAGCUGAUUAUAAGCAUCUACCUCAGCUGCAUCUUAUAGCUGCAAAUCCUCUGCCAAUGAGCAGAACAAGAAGAGGCCAGUGUUACUUCACGAGGGACAAAUUUCAGAUGAAAUGGUCAAAUAGCACCGACAGCCUUGGAAAAAGAGAUACGCAUGUCUAGUGGGAGACCCAUUGCGUGUGUUGACAGUGUGUUGGGCAUUCGCAGGACAUGAGUUUGCACUUCCAAUCUUGUGACAGAGGAAGGACCAUGGCAUGUGAACUUCAGGUUACUCCAUGAGUGACAUGGACCAGUUGACUGGAAGAUGCCAACACAGAGUUGCUUUAAGCAAGGAUGAUACAUCCAGCUGUCCUAGAGUCAAUGCCUAGGUAGCUGGGUGAUACCCAAACCCUUCUGGAAAGCCCUGGCCAAGGGAAAGAAGACAUGGCCAUAGUGUCCCACACAUUGUAGUCAUCCCUGCCUGUCCUGAGGGGCCAAAAGCAACCGGCAAAAUUUGUGGUAUCUGUCAGCUGUGUCUCCAGGUCUUUGCUUACCAAAACAAAUGGUUGAAUCCACGCAUCGUAGCUGCUACGGCAGGAGAAUACCGAGCAACAGAACAAGACCCAGUGAGGAAGAGGAUGGACUUGGCAAAGGCAUAGGGAACAGGACUGAGGAAGAGAAGAGGCACUUUGCCAGACAGGGGAGACGCAGAACUUACCACCUGCUACCACAAAUGUAAUUAAAUUGCACUCCAGAAAUGGAUAGUCCAUACCCAAGUGAGGCAAAACCGAUCUCGUACAGAUCUGUUCCAACCUGGAGAGUUAUUACAUCUCUCUGUUUCUAAUUACACUGUUACCCAGUAUGAUGCCAACUCCAAAGGCAGAACCUGUGUCACUAAAGAACAUUUUCUUUGUGGAAAGAAUGAUUAGUGAAGGCAAUUAUUUCUCAUGAGAAAUUUUGGAAAUAGUUAAUUUUCCUAUCUCACAUUCUUAUAAUUUGGACAAAAUAAAAAGAAGAGUGGAGAAACUUUGAAAACUAAA